rnacentral:rRNA from 1 species
GGAGGGUGCAAGCGUUAUCCGGAUUCACUGGGUUUAAAGGGUGCGUAGGCGGGUUGGUAAGUCCGUGGUGAAAUCUCCGAGCUUAACUCGGAAACUGCCGUGGAUACUAUCAAUCUUGAAUAUCGUGGAGGUAAGCGGAAUAUGUCAUGUAGCGGUGAAAUGCUUAGAUAUGACAUAGAACACCAAUUGCGUAGGCAGCUUACUACACGAUCAUUGACGCUGAGGCACGAAAGCGUGGGGAGCAAACAGGAUUAGAUACCCUGGUAGUCCACGCCCUAAACGAUGGAUACUCGACAUCAGCGAUACACUGUUGGUGUCUGAGCGAAAGCAUUAAGUAUCCCACCUGGGAAGUACGAUCGCAAGAUUG